rnacentral:rRNA from 1 species
GACGAACGCUGGCGGCGUGCUUAACACAUGCAAGUCGAACGGUAAGGCCCUUCGGGGUACACGAGUGGCGAACGGGUGAGUAACACGUGGGUGAUCUGCCCUGCACUUCGGGAUAAGCCUGGGAAACUGGGUCUAAUACCGGAUAGGACCCUGGGAUGCAUGUCCUGGGGUGGAAAGCUUUUGCGGUGUGGGAUGGGCCCGCGGCCUAUCAGCUUGUUGGUGGGGUGAUGGCCUACCAAGGCGACGACGGGUAGCCGGCCUGAGAGGGUGACCGGCCACACUAGGACUGAGAUACGGCCCAGACUCCUACGGGAGGCAGCAGUGGGGAAUAUUGCACAAUGGGCGCAAGCCUGAUGCAGCGACGCCGCGUGAGGGAUGACGGCCUUCGGGCUGUAAACCUCUUUCAGCACCGACGAAGCGUAAGUGACGGUAGGUGCAGAAGAAGGACCGGCCAACUACGUGCCAGCAGCCGCCGUAA